rnacentral:misc_RNA from 1 species
UCUCCGUUGGUGAACCAGCGGAGGGGUCAUUAUCGAGUUUAUAACUCCCAAACCCUAUGUGAACUUACCACUUGUUGCUUCGGCGCGCGCUUCGGUGCCGCCGAGGACACUUAAACUCUUUGUUUUUAUAAGCAUUUCUGAGUGGCCGAAAGGCAAAAUACAAAUGAAUCAAAACUUUCAACAACGGAUCUCUUGGUUCUG